GGGGUUGACCGGUUUUGACAGCAAGGAUAAUGGGUAUGUAAGCAUGCAGGCUCACGCAUCAGCAGCCUUGAAAACCGAUGCAGAACAAUAAUAGGCGAAAAUAACUACGCUCUUGCUGCAUAACCGAAGUAUAGUAGGUUAUCUUAAUCCCCGCAACAGUUGCAGGGACAAGACAUUUCCCGCCGACCCCGCCCAUCGGUCUGCGAUUCGGAAGUGCUCGUGAGAAUGGGAUAGUCAGAGGUAGGUUCCGUCCCUUUGAUGAACUUUUAGGAACUAAGGAUGACAUUGGGUGUCUGCGUCCGGUGGCAUCACGAAAAUCAACCACAGAAUAAGCAUGUAGAAAGCACAUCUGUUACUUGUUUGGACGAGGGUUCGACUCCCUCCAGCUCCACCU
rnacentral:tmRNA from 1 species